CUUUCACACCAGCUCCCGUUGUCAGCUGUGGGCAAAAAAAACAGGAACGGCUCAGCAUGUGUCCCUUCCCGAGACUGCCUGUGGGGUGCAGAAGGGGUCCUGAAACCAACGUGGUGCUUGGUCAUCUUUGGAGAUAGCCUCUUUGAUUGGAUACUCUGUUACCUAAUCUCGCGUCUGCACACUGAACAACCGUUGAGCACCGUUCCGGGGCUUAUGCUAGAGGGAGAAAGCUGAACCAGCACCGGGGCCCUGGGAAAAGAUGUGGCCGCCAUGAGGCUUGGUAUCCCCAUUUGCAACCCAGAGCCAAGGGUUCCUCCCUGUUAUGGUUGCUGGGCGAUUCUGAGGCACUCCUCCACACUCCUUUGUGGCACCAAUCAUUGACGUGUGACCCAACCAAGAAGAAUCCACGUGGCCUUGUACUUUAUCCUCACUGCUUAAGGUGCCCAGAAUAAAAGCUAACCCUUUCUUCUUCA